rnacentral:rRNA from 1 species
GACGAACGCUGGCGGCGUGCUUAACACAUGCAAGUCGUACGGUAAGGCCCUUUCGGGGUACACGAGUGGCGAACGGGUGAGUAACACGUGAGUAACCUGCCCACAACUUUGGGAUAACGCUAGGAAACUGGUGCUAAUACUGGAUAUGUGCUCCUGCUGCAUGGUGGGGGUUGGAAAGCUCCGGCGGUUGUGGAUGGACUCGCGGCCUAUCAGCUUGUUGGUGGGGUAGGGGCCUACCAAGGCGGCGACGGGUAGCCGGCCUGGGAGGGUGACCGGCCACAGUGGGACUGAGAUACGGCCCAGACUCCUACGGGAGGCAGCAGUGGGGAAUAGUGCACAAUGGGCGCAAGCCUGAUGCAGCAACGCCGCGUGCGGGAUGACGGCCUUCGGGUUGUAAACCGCUUUCAGCAGGGACGAAGCUUUUUGUGACGGUACCUGCAGAAGAAGCACCGGCUAACUACGUG